rnacentral:misc_RNA from 1 species
GAUGAAGACGUAGCGAAAUGCGAUAAGUAGUGUGAAUUGCAGAAUUCAGUGAAUCAUCGAAUCUUUGAACGCACAUUGCGCCCUUUGGUAUUCCUUAGGGCAUGCCUGUUCGAGCGUCAUUUAAACCUUCAAGCUCAGCUUGGUGUUGGGUGACUGUCCGCUUCACCGCGGACUCGCCUCAAAAUUAUUGGCGGCCGGUACAUUGGCUUCGAGCGCAGCAGAAACGCGAACUCGGGCCCGUCGUAUUGGCUCCCAGAAGCUAUCUUCACAAUUUUGACCUCGGAUCAGGUAGGGAUACCCGCUGAACUUAAGCAUAUCAAUAGCGGAGGA